GCCUCGGUAUCGCGAUUGCUUUUGCCAAAGUUGAUCAAACUUGAUGAUUUGGAGGAAAUAAAAGUCGUAACAAGGUUUCCGUAGGUGAACCUGCGGAAGGAUCAUUA
rnacentral:rRNA from 1 species